GAUGAACGCUGGCGGCGUGCCUAAUACAUGCAAGUCGAGCGAACGGACGAGAAGCUUGCUCCUCUGAUGUUAUCGGCGGACGGGUGAGUAACACGUGGAUAACCUACCUAUAAGACUGGGAUAACUUCGGGAAACCGGAGCUACUACCGGAUAAUAUAUUGACCCGCAUUGUUCAAACGUGAAAGACGCUCUUGCUGUCACUUAUAGAUGGAUACGCGCUGCAUUAGCUAGUUGGUAAGGUAACGGCUUAGCAAGGCAACGAUGCAUAGCCGACCUGAGAGGGUGAUCGGACACACUGGAACUGAGACACGGUCCAGACUCCUACGGGAGGAAGCAGUAGGGAAUCUUACGCAAUGGGCGAAAGCCUGACGGAGCAACGCCGCGUGAGUGAUGAAGGUCUUCGGAUCGUAAAACUCUGUUAUUAGGGAAGAACAUAUGUGUAAGUAACUGUGAACAUCUUGACGGUACCUAAUCAGAAAGCCACGGCUAACUACGUG
rnacentral:rRNA from 1 species